AUAUCAGUCAUGCAUAGCAUAUCAAUAAGCGGAGGAAAAGAAACUAACAAGGAUUCCCCUAGUAACUGCGAGUGAAGCGGGAAGAGCUCAAAUUUGAAAUCUUAAAAGGUUUUCCUUUUACGAAUUGUAGUUUAAAGAAGUGUUUUCUGUUGAAAGUUUUAGUAAAAGUUCCUUGGAAUAGGACAUCAUAGAGGGUGAGAAUCCCGUAUUUGACUAGAAUUUUUAACUUUGUGAUACACUUUCAAAGAGUCGGAUUGUUUGGGAAUGCAGUCCAAAAUGGGUGGUAAAUUUCAUCUAAAGCUAAAUAUUGGCGAGAGACCGAUAGCGAACAAGUACCGUGAGGGAAAGAUGAAAAGAACUUUGAAAAGAGAGUUAAAUAGUACGUGAAAUUGUCAAAAGGGAAGCGCUUGGCACCAGUGUUGUUUUUCUAAAAAUCAAUUUAAAAUUUACUUAUGUUAAGUAUUUUUAGACUUUAAUCAGGCUAUAUAAUUUAGUUUUUUGUAAUUUUUGAAUGCACUUUUUAGUUAACAAGUCAACAUCAAUUUCUUUUGUUGUAAAAGAAUAAGAGGAAGGUGGCUUGGAAUUUAGUUUCAAGUGUUUAUAGCCUUUUAUUUAUGCAAUAGGAGGGAUUGAGGUCUGCAGCAUAGAUCCUUCGGGGGCUAGAUGCAUUUUUGCUAAGAGUCCAGUAUUAUAUAAACAACUUGUUGAUUAUAGUAGUAUGUUGAUUUCUACUCGCAGAGUGUUAUUUUACCUACGCUUAGGAUGUUGACGCAUGAGAUAUACGC
rnacentral:rRNA from 1 species